rnacentral:rRNA from 1 species
GACGUAGGGCGCGAGCGUUGUCCGGAUUUAUUGGGCGUAAAGAGCUCGUAGGCGGCUUGUCGCGUCGUUCGUGAAAACCCACGGCUUAACUGUGGGCUUGCGGUCGAUACGGGCAGGCUAGAGUUCGGUAGGGGAGACUGGAAUUCCUGGUGUAGCGGUGAAAUGCGCAGAUAUCAGGAGGAACACCGGUGGCGAAGGCGGGUCUCUGGGCCGAUACUGACGCUGAGGAGCGAAAGCGUGGGGAGCGAACAGG